rnacentral:misc_RNA from 1 species
CAACCCUCAAGCUCUGCUUGGUGUUGGGGCUCUACGUCUGACGUAGGCCCUGAAAGGAAGUGGCGGGCUCGCUACAACUCCGAGCGUAGUAAUUCAUUAACUCGCUAGGGAAGUGUGGCGUUUUCCAGCCGUUAAAGACCCCAUCUUUAACCAG